rnacentral:rRNA from 1 species
CUACGGGGAAGCAGCAGUAGGGAAUCUUCGGCAAUGGGGGCAACCCUGACCGAGCAACGCCGCGUGAGUGAAGAAGGUUUUCGGAUCGUAAAGCUCUGUUGUAAGUCAAGAACGGGUGUGAGAGUGGAAAGUUCACACUGUGACGGUAGCUUACCAGAAAGGGACGGCUAACUACGUGCCAGCAGCCGCGGUAAUACGUAGGUCCCGAGCGUUGUCCGGAUUUAUUGGGCGUAAAGCGAGCGCAGGCGGUUUGAUAAGUCUGAAGUUAAAGGCUGUGGCUCAACCAUAGUUCGCUUUGGAAACUGUCAAACUUGAGUGCAGAAGGGGAGAGUGGAAUUCCAUGUGUAGCGGUGAAAUGCGUAGAUAUAUGGAGGAACACCGGUGGCGAAAGCGGCUCUCUGGUCUGUAACUGACGCUGAGGCUCGAAAGCGUGGGGAGCGAACAGGAUUAGAUACCCUGGGUAGU